rnacentral:misc_RNA from 1 species
GUGAGUCAUCGAAUCUUUGAACGCACAUUGCGCCCGCCAGCACUCUGGCGGGCAUGCCUGUCCGAGCGUCAUUUUCAACCCUCAAGCGCCGCUUGGUGUUGGGGGCCGGCGCGCACGCCAGCGCGCGCCGCCCCCGAAAAGCAUUGGCGGCCACGCCGCGGCCCUCCCCCUGCGCAGUAGCAACGCAGCUCGCACCGGGAGCCCGGCUGGGCCACUGCCGCGAAGCCACGGGGCGCGAACGCGCCCGCAGAGUUGACCUCGGAUCAGGUAGGGGUACCCGCUGAACUUAAGCAUAUCAAUAAGCGGAGGA